GUAGGAGGCGAGCGUUAUCCGGAUUUACUGGGCGUAAAGCGCGUGCAGGCGGUUUUCUAAGUCGGACGUGAAAGCUCCCGGCUCAACUGGGAGAGGUCGUUCGAAACUAGAAAACUUGAGGGUGGUAGAGGAGAGUGGAAUUCCCGGUGUAGUGGUGAAAUGCGUAGAUAUCGGGAGGAACACCAGUGGCGAAGGCGGCUCUCUGGGCCACUCCUGACGCUAAGACGCGAAAGCUAGGGGAGAGAACGGGAUUAGAAACCCCGGUAUUCCUAGCCGUAAACGAUGUCAACUAGGUGUAGGGGGUAUCCAACCCCCCUGUACUGCAGCAAACGCGGUAAGUUGACCCGCCUGGGGACUACGGCCGCAAGGCUA
rnacentral:rRNA from 1 species